UAAAUAUUAUCUCUGUCCCGAAUUACUUGACUUAGAUUUUUCUAAAUACGGAUGUAUCUAACACUAAAACAUGUCUAGAUUCAUCUAUAUCUAGACAAAUCUAAAACAAGUAAUUCGGGACCGAGGGAGUAACAA
rfam:Triticum aestivum genome assembly, contig: Triticum_aestivum_CS42_TGACv1_scaffold_130669_2BL